rnacentral:rRNA from 1 species
GACGAACGCUGGCGGCGUGCUUAACACAUGCAAGUCGAACGGAAAGGCCCCUUUGGGGGUACUCGAGUGGCGCACGGGUGAGUAACACGUGAGUAACCUGCCCUUGACUUCGGGAUAACUUCAGGAAACUGGGGCUAAUACCGGAUAGGAAUCCUUGCUGCAUGGUGGGGGUUGGAAAGCUUCGGCGGUUUUGGAUGGACUCGCGGCUUAUCAGCUUGUUGGUGGGGUAGUGGCUUACCAAGGCUUUGACGGGUAGCCGGCCUGAGAGGGCGACCGGCCACAUUGGGACUGAGAUACGGCCCAGACUCCUACGGGAGGCAGAAGUGGGGAAUAUUGAACAAUGGGCGGAAGCCUGAUGCAGCAACGCCGCGUGCGGGAUGACGGCCUUCGGGUUGUAAACCGCUUUCAGCAGGGGCGAAGCUUGUGGUGACGGUACCUGCAGAAGAAGCACCGGCUAACUACGUG